AAGGAUUUAAGUUAAAUAAACUAUUAACCUUCAAAGUUAAAAAUAGAUAAAUUUCUAAGCCUUA
rnacentral:tRNA from 1 species